GCUCCUUUGCAGAGGGACGGGCACCAUGCUGCUGCCCAGCCUGCUGUGGGUGGCCGUGGUCUCCAUCUUUUCUGGACCCAGCAUGGCCCAGAAAGUGACCCAAGUGCAGCCCCCCACAGCCAGAAGGGAAGGGGAAACAGUCACCCUGGACUGCUCCUACGAGACAAGCUGGAGCUCAUACUAUAUUUUUUGGUACCAGCAACUUCCAAGUGGAAAGAUGAUUUUCCUUAUUCGUCAAGGUUCUUCUUCUACCAGUGGGAAGAGUGGUCGCUAUUCUGUCAGAAAAGCAGGGAGCUCCAUGAGCCUCAUGAUUACAGCCUUGCAGAUGGAGGAUUCUGGAAAAUAUUUCUGUGCUCUUUGGGAACUCACAGUGCUUGAAAUGAUAGUAAAAGCUGAACAAAAACUCUGGAGUUCUCAGAAAGGCAGGCCCUGCUGUGGAGCUGAGCUGAGACGUGCACCUGCAGAUCCCAGGCAAGGAGGGAGCACAGUGGUGGCUCCAUCUGUGGUCUGGGCCAGAAGGUUAAAUUCUAAGUAA